rnacentral:lncRNA from 14 species
UUGGGGUCGUCCCACAUUGAUGGGGAUUUUCGGGGUCUCACAUGGAAUUGGGGCCGUUUUCGGGGGUCCCACAUGGAAUUGGGGCCGUUUUCGGGGGUCUCACGUGGGAUCCCCCCCAGAAGAAGAAGACCCCCCCCAAGCGGGAGCGCCACGCCUCGGGCAGCAGCUCCAGGGGGGGCUCCAGGCCCGGGACCCCCCCCCAGGAGCCGGGGGGCGCCGGGGGGACCCUGAGGGCAGCGGCGGCCAGGCUGGAGCAGGGUCGGCGGGCGGCCCCGGGGGGGUCGGAGCCCCCUCCCCAAAAACGGCUGAAGGCGGAGCCGGAACCCCCCUCGGGCAAAUCCACCCCCGAGCACCGGCGAGGUGCAGCUCACGGAGGAGG